rnacentral:rRNA from 1 species
CCUACGGGGAGCUGCAGUGAGGAAUAUUGGUCAAUGGGCGCGAGCCUGAACCAGCCAUGUAGCGUGAAGGAUGACUGCCCUACGGGUUGUAAACUUCUUUUAUAAAGGAAUAAAGUGAGGCACGUGUGCCUUUUUGUAUGUACUUUAUGAAUAAGGAUCGGCUAACUCCGUGCCACCAGCCGCGGUAAUACGGCGGAUCCGAGCGUUAUCCGGCUUUAUUGGGUUUAAAGGGAGCGUACAUGGGUUGUUAAGUCAGUUGUGAAAGUUUGCGGCUCAACCGUAAAAUUGCAAUUGAUACUGGCAGCCGUGAGUACAGUUGAGGUAGGCGGAAUUCGUGGUGUAGCGGUGAAAUGCUUAGAUAUCACGAAGAACUCCGAUUGCGAAGGCAGCCUACUAAACUGCCACUGACAUUGAUGCUCGAAAGUGUGGGUAUCAAACAGGAUUAGAUACCCCUGUAGUC